UGGGGAAUUUUGGACAAUGGGCGCAAGCCUGAUCCAGCCAUGCCGCGUGCGGGAAGAAGGCCUUCGGGUUGUAAACCGCUUUUGUCAGGGAAGAAAUCUUCUGAGUUAAUACCUCGGGAGGAUGACGGUACCUGAAGAAUAAGCACCGGCUAACUACGUGCCAGCAGCCGCGGUAAUACGUAGGGUGCAAGCGUUAAUCGGAAUUACUGGGCGUAAAGCGUGCGCAGGCGGUUUUGUAAGACAGAGGUGAAAUCCCCGGGCUCAACCUGGGAACUGUCUUUGUGACUGCAAGGCUUGAGUGCGGCAGAGGGGGGAUGGAAUUCCGCGUGUAGCAGUGAAAUGCGUAGAUAUGCGGAGGAACACCGAUGGCGAAGGCAAAUCCCCUGGGCCUGCACUGACGCUCAUGCACGAAAGCGUGGGGAGCAAAACAGGAUUAGAUACCCUGGUAGUCCACGCCCUAAAACGAUGUCAACUGGUUGUUGGGAAAGGUUCCUUCUCAGUAACGUAGCUAACGCGUGAAGUUGACCGCCUGGGGAGUACGGCCGCAAGGUUGAAACUU
rnacentral:rRNA from 1 species